CCCAUCCACCCAUUCACGAUAAAUCAAGAAUAUAUAACGACGACCCACUCUCUCUCUCAUUGUCUAUAUUUGUUUCCACUUUGAGCCAACCAAGCUGAUAUACCAGAGAGAAAAAGAUAAUAUGGCUCUCAGAAUGUGGGCUUCUUCAACAGCUAAUGCACUUUGAAUCUCUUGCGGCACCAAGGCCCCUCUCUCAAGAUGCUUCUCUUUUGAUAUUGUAUUCUUUCUUUGAACUCCUAAUUAACUGUUUGGCUUCUGUGUGUGUUUACAGAACAAACUACAAUAAGGACCUCUGCUUCCAACUCUAUUUCAUCAAAUGGGUCUUCUAAGAUUUUGAGUUACUUCAUUUAGUUCAUUCACCUGAUUUUGGGCUGUUUUGUUUCAAUUUUUGACCUUAAUAAGGGCAAAGAUAUGUUUGAAUUUAUUUGAAGUUUGGUAUAUUCGCAGUUUUGGAUGGAUUGAAAUAUGCCACCUCCCAUGAAUGGGUGAAGCAUGAAGGCCUAGUGGCUACAGUUGGCAUCACCGAUUAUG